rnacentral:rRNA from 1 species
CCUACGGGUGGCAGCAGUGAGGAAUAUUGGUCAAUGGGCGCGAGCCUGAACCAGCCAAGUAGCGUGAAGGAUGACUGCCCUACGGGUUGUAAACUUCUUUUAUAAAGGAAUAAACUGUUGCACUUGUGCCUUUUUGUAUGUACUUUAUGAAUAAGGAUCGGCUAACUCCGUGCCAGCAGCCGCGGUAAUACGGAGGGUCCGAGCGUUAUCCGGAUUUAUUGGGUUUAAAGGGAGCGUAGAUGGGUUGUUAAGUCAGUUGUGAAAGUUUGGGGCUCAACCGUAAAAUUGCAAUUGAUACUGGCAGUCUAGAGUACAGUUGAGGUAGGCGGAAUUCGUGGUGUAGCGGUGAAAUGCUUAGAUAUCACGAAGAACUCCGAUUGCGAAGGCAGCUUACUAAGCUGCCACUGACAUUGAUGCUCGAAAGUGUGGGUAGCAAACAGGAUUAGAUACCCCGGUAGUC